CCGGGCCUCCCAGGGCCCCCGCCGUGGACAGGGCCACCGCGAAGAUCUCUGAGGUGACAGCCCAGCCCCUGGGACACAGGCGUUCCAGGGGGACCUGCAGGGCAGCCCUCCGGCCUAGGCCUCCUGAAACUGGCCCUUGACUUCAGGAGCAACCGCGGGGACCCCUUGGCAGGGCCUCCAAGUUCCCCCAGUGCCCGAAGCUGAUGGAGGGCCCCAGAGCCAUAUCUGGAGGGGCUGAGAUCAGGCGGCAGCGGGAUGGCUUGGCCUGAUGGAACCCCAAACUGAGAGUGCAGGAGGCGGCAGGAGCUGCUGAUGAAACCCUGGCUGACAGCUCCCUAAGGGAGCCCUGGCUAGGGCCACUGGGGCUGCUCAAGCCGCACCGGAGCCCCCAGCGUCUCCUGCUAACUGAAGUGGAGCUGCUGCACCCGCACUGGAGCGCGUCCCGCUGUGGCUGCCCCUUUCCUCUCCGUGGCAGACACAGGCCAGACAAGGAACCGAGGCCUCCAAGGCCCCUACCCCCACCCAGGCUUGGCCAAGGCCUCAGGCGUGUAGAGCAGCAUCACUGCUGGGCUCCAUCACCCACACUGACCGGAAGCGCGCUGCAGCUCCCCUCUGCCCUUCCUCACCAGCCUGAAGGAGGCGAGGGCAGAUGGAGGUAUCUGUCCGUGGGGGCCCAAACCCACCGGGAGACCCUGGUUUCCACAGCCUCCGCCUUGCAGAAAGAGCUGGGCUCCAGCAAAAGUCCCAGAGCACCAGCGGUUCAGCCCCAAGACAAUUCUGGCUCAGCCUCAGAAAGGGAUAAUAAAGGCUUCUCCCCUUUCUUGUAAGCUUACAGAAUCUUAUGCUUUCCUGACUCCUCAUUUUUUCCCCUCUAAGGUUUUGUAACUCUUAAGAAAUAUCAUGCCUGAAAUUAAACCUGGAUGUGCUGUGUGAUCCAGCCGCUCCAUUUCUGGACAGAUACACAAAAAAUUGAGAGCAGGGACUCAAGCAGAUGUUGGUACCCCGUCC
rnacentral:lncRNA from 1 species